rnacentral:antisense_RNA from 1 species
CCCAAAAUGCUGGGAUUACAAGCAUGAACCACUGUGACUUGCCUUCUUGGCCAUUUUAAAUGAAAGAAGAUGGAAUAAUGCCUACUGAGGACUAUGUUUGAGGGGUGUUGUAUGACCCCGUUUUCCAUACCCAGCCAACUUGUCAUGUGACAAGUCCACAGAAAGAUGUUAUAUGGCCAGGAAUCUAUGAACUAGUCUUCCCUGAAAUGUACCUGACUACAGCUAACAUCAUAUCACAUGAUGAAAGACCGCGUUGUUUUCCCCUGAGGUUGGCGGUGCAGGAAGACGUACGUGAAAUAAUUCAUGGAAAAGUCACAGUGGCCUUGAAGUUUUCCAGAUAACAAUGAAAAACUACGUUAAGAUGCUAUUUUUCAACAAAAUUCAUUUUACCAACCUCAAAACGUAUUUCCUCCGAAGAAGAUACGCACUGACAAACAACACCCGAGUGUGGCAUGCUAGCAGGAGCACUAGGCUGGGAGUCAAGAGACUUAAAUUCCACCCGGAAGCCACCACAUGACCUUGGCAUGAGCCCGUCACCAGGCUCCUCAGCCUCCUCAUCGCAGCCCCAGGGAUUUCCCAAGCCCUCCGGAAAUACUGUAACUUGACAACAAUGGAGAAAGACUUUCACCCAUGCGGUUGGAAUGCUAGCCUUAAAAAA